AACGAACGCUGGCGGCAUGCCUAACACAUGCAAGUCGAACGAAGCCUUCGGGCUUAGUGGCGCACGGGUGCGUAACGCGUGGGAAUCUGCCCUUGGGUUCGGAAUAACAGUUAGAAAUGACUGCUAAUACCGAAUGAUGUCUUCGGACCAAAGAUUUAUCGCCCAAGGAUGAGCCCGCGUCGGAUUAGCUAGUUGGUGAGGUAAAGGCUCACCAAGGCGACGAUCCGUAGCUGGUCUGAGAGGAUGAUCAGCCACACUGGGACUGAGACACGGCCCAAACUCCUACGGGAGGCAGCAGUGGGGAAUAUUGGACAAUGGGCGCAAGCCUGAUCCAGCAACGCCGCGUGAAUGAUGAAGGCCUUC
rnacentral:rRNA from 1 species